UAUCAGCACUGCAGUCCUUGAAAGACUAGGAGACAUCAAGAUUUGUCAGCAUGAUGUCUCGGAGCAUCUCUGGGCUCCUCCGCCUUGGGCUGCCUCAAGCACACAGGGCCAGAGCCCAGGUUAUCUUUGUGACAACUGAUUGCAGUCCGGCACUGGCUGGCCUUCACCUGGGGAGAUGCUUCAGUACCAGCCACAGGCUUCAAUAUGUCCCUGUGGGGGGCACAGGAUCUACUGAGAAAGUGAAGUUAAAUUUUAUUAACCGGGAUGGAGAUAAAUUCUCAGUCACCGCUAAAGAAGGAGAAAGCUUGCUGGAGGUGGUGAUGAAUCAAAACAUCGACAUCGAUGGCUUUGGGGCAUGUGAGGGGGCCUUGGCUUGCUCCACUUGCCACCUCAUCUUUGAGGGCAGCACAUUUCAACAACUGGACCCCAUCAGUGAUGAAGAGAUAGAUAUGCUGGACCUGGCAUAUGGACUUACUGAGACGUCUCGUCUAGGCUGCCAGGUGCGCGUGAAGAAUUGGAUGGAUGGCCUCACGGUCCAGGUUCCCACAGAUGUGUCAGACAUCAGGAGAGAACUGGAAGUGGAGAAGCAAACCAAGCAAUAAUAGCUGAUACAGUGUUCUCCUGAAUGCUCUUCCUGCAAUGCAAUCAUUUCAGGCUUCAUGUUUCUUGAACAUUUUGCUGUUGCUUGCUUUUCCUUGUGACUUCUUGAGAUGCCUUCUGUAUUUAAAACCUGCCAUGUGUACUGAAGUUUGAUAUUUGGCAUGACAUAUGUGGGAACUGCCUAGCAUGCCCCUGAUACUUAAAUGAUAGUCCUGGGGUCCUUAUGUCUCUGAACCUCAUUUUGCUGGUCUGUAAUACAUAUGACGGUGAAAUGGUUGCAACUUUUUGUUAACAAUGCUGGUGAUUCUUACUGUGAGCAAUGCGGGGAACUGCCAAACUUUAUCAGCUAAGGUGAUGUGCAUCCCACCAGUUCACAGCAGCCUU